rnacentral:tRNA from 1 species
AAGGCCUGUAAAAUUCUCAAGUACAUCCUCUGACUGCAACUCAGACACUUUAAUUAAGCUAAGACCUCC